rnacentral:rRNA from 1 species
UACGGAGGAUGCGAGCGUUAUCCGGAUUUAUUGGGUUUAAAGGGUGCGUAGGCGGACGCUUAAGUCAGCGGUAAAAUUGCGGGGCUCAACCUCGUCGAGCCGUUGAAACUGGGUGCCUUGAGUGGGCGAGAAGUACGCGGAAUGCGUGGUGUAGCGGUGAAAUGCAUAGAUAUCACGCAGAACUCCGAUUGCGAAGGCCGCGUACCGGCGCCCUACUGACGCUGAAGCACGAAGGCGUGGGUAUCGAACAGG